UAUAAAAAGAAAUAAACUUCCAGCUAUAUAUAAUUGUUUUUUUUAAUAAAACAAGUACAUGUAUGUGAGAAACCUUUCAGGAACAAGUUGUCUACUAUAGCCAGCCAAGCCUUUACUGCAUACAUGUGCACAUUUUUAGUUGGUGCAUCUAAAAGAUAUAGUUUUGAUUCGGUGUUUCUUUGUUUUCUUUUUAUUCAAAUAAUUUUAAAAUGUGAUGAUGUACACAACAAUAAUUAGUACCUAGUUUAGAGGAUUUUUUCGCGCUUGCUUGUAAACAACGCGCGGCAUUGUGGGAAUUAGGAAGGUACUAAAGACGCGAUGUACUAAACACUGAUUUGACCUGAUUCAAAUUUGUCUGUAAAUGUUCCAAACAAUUGAAUUUUUGUAUAGCAUAUGCCUCGAAGUCAUAAAGUCUGUACAUAAGUAAUUUAAAAUACUCAAUAUUACCAUUUAAUUAAAAAUUAAAACGUCAGGUAAAUAUCAGGUCUGUAGUAUAUCCCGUUUUUAGUGUGCCCCUUCGAGUCGACGUCGGCCACAUGUUUGCCAUGGUUUACAAACUGAAAAUAGAAUGAUUUGUGAAGUUGAACAUUUUCUCACAAAGAAUCCGUUUGUAGACAUGUACACUCAUUUAAUCUGCAGCUACGAAGUACUUUGUCACUUCUCUGGAAUAUUAUUCUAAGCAGAAUUAUCCCUAUUCAUAUAUUCUAAGAAUCUUGUGUGAAUUGUUUACGAGGAAAUUCUGACUGUCACAUUAACAAGGAUGAACACUCUUGACUCUGCUUCGGAUUCCCCAGUGAUAAUUGUAUCGAGUGAUGAAAGAGCUGACGGCGACAUUUUAAUGUAUGAUUGGCUUGGACCAUUGGAAUGAAGUCAUUUCAUGGUGCCACCACUUGGGAUGGUAUUAGCUGCAAAUAUAGACUUGUACUCAGCACUUAUUGCCUUUAAGAAGUAUGAGAUCCAUUUUGUGCUAACACCUACCGUGACACAGAAUCUUGGUUUAUGCAGUCUCAUAGGAGUAACCUGUCUAAAGCAUUUAGCAAUGGGAUUGGAACCUGCGACGUGUGACUCAUCUGAAUACUGAAUUUUGAUACCAAGCAUGACCAUGAUUUGCCAGAAGAUCAUCUGUUUGGAUGUGACAUGGAAUAAACAGCAUAGUGAAAAUAAGUCAAGUUUUGGUUUGUGAAGACAAUUUUUAAACACACUGUGUAUCAUUUUUAGAUUUUGAUUUGACAACUUAAAUCCACAAAUAUGAACAUAUCAAUUGCUCUCAGUUUUUCAAGUGAAAUAGUUUUUGUAACAGAAAUACAUGUACCAGUAAUUACAUUGGAAUAAAUGUUAUUUUUAAAUAUAAUAAUAUUUUGUUUGUGUUGCAUGUUGACCUCUUUAUUAAGGUCUUCCUUUUCAAAGUUUAGACUUACUUAUUCUAAUGAUUAAGAUAGAUCCUCUGUCUUCAGCAGGAGUAUAAGAUCUUGUAAUACAUGUAUGUGUAUUUUUACAGUAUAAUGUAAAAAAUUGUUAUUUUGGCACAUACAACUAAAUAAAGGCAUAAACAUGUGUAUGAUUCCAAGGAAUUCAGUACAUAGGGCAUGUACAUGUAGUUUUCUAAAACAAGAUUGAAGAGAUGUCCAGUCGCAUUUCAAUGUCAACUGCAAAACUGUGCCUGUUGCAUACUUAUUAGCCCAUCUGAGCUAAAGGAACCAGUAAAUUUUUUAAAAACAUAAUUUUAUCCAUUAUCAUCAUUGUCUAAAAUUUCACAAUAUCAUUUUCCAGAACCAAAGUGAAACUUGGCACAGAGCAUCCUUAGUGUAGGGGAUUCAAAUUGUUCUUAUGCAGGGCAAUACCUUCAAAGAGAUUUGUUUCUUUAAUGCUGUAAAUGUAUUAUAUUUAGCUUGUACAAUAUUUGGUGGAAAUUGACUUUGGAAUAAGUUAGCGUAGAUAUUCUUAUUAAUGUUUAUGUACAAGACUUUUAGCUUUGUACUUGAUUUAGGGAUUGCUGCAUUCCGCCAAAGCCACUAAAAAAGAAUACACAGCCAUAUGUAAUAUGUUCAUAAUAUACCUUUCAGAGAAUUUUACACUCCUAUUGAGGUACCACCAGUUGCUAGUGGAAAGCUUCAAAUUCGAAACAUACACAACACAUUUCUGUGCGUUUAUUAUAAAAGUAUUGUUCUACUUACUGAUUGCAACUAAUGAAGAUUGUUCAUCAUUAUUGUAAAUACA